rnacentral:rRNA from 1 species
ACAGCUCAGUAACACGUGGAUAACCUGCCCUUGGGACCGGCAUAACCCCGGGAAACUGGGGAUAAUUCCGGAUAACGCAUAUUUGCUGGAAUGCUUUAUGCGUCAAAAGGAUUCGUCUGCCCAAGGAUGGGUCUGCGGCCUAUCAGGUAGUAGUGGGUGUAAUGUACCUACUAGCCAGCGACGGGUACGGGUUGUGAGAGCAAGAGCCCGGAGAUGGAUUCUGAGACAUGAAUCCAGGCCCUACGGGGCGCAGCAGGCGCGAAAACUUUACAAUGCGGGAAACCGUGAUAAGGGGACACCGAGUGCCAGCAUCAUAUGCUGGCUGUCCGGAUGUGUAAAAUACAUCCGUUAGCAAGGGCCGGGCAAGACCGGUGCCAGCCGCCGCGGUAACACCGGCGGCCCGAGUGGUGAUCGUGAUUAUUGGGUCUAAAGGGUCCGUAGCCGGUUUGGUCAGUCCUCCGGGAAAUCUGAUAGCUCAACUAUUAGGCUUUCGGGGGAUACUGCCAGACUUGGAACCGGGAGAGGUAAGAGGUACUACAGGGGUAGGAGUGAAAUCUUGUAAUCCCUGUGGGACCACCUGUGGCGAAGGCGUCUUACCAGAACGGGUUCGACGGUGAGGGACGAAAGCUGGGGGCACGAACCGGAUUAGAUACCCGGGUAGUCCCAGCCGUAAACGAUGCUCGCUAGGUGUCAGGCAUGGCGCGACCGUGUCUGGUGCCGCAGGGAAGCCGUGAAGCGAGCCACCUGGGAAGUACGGCCGCAAGGCUGAAACUUAAAGGAAUUGGCGGGGGAGCAC